rnacentral:rRNA from 1 species
GCUACUAGAUGGUUCGAUUGGUCUUUCGCCCCUAUACUCAAUUCUGACAAUCGAUUUGCACGUCAGAACUGUUUCGGUCUUCCAUCAGGGUUUCCCCUGACUUCAACCUGAUCAAGUAUAGUUCACCAUCUUUCGGGUCACAGCAUAUAUGCUCAAGGUACGCUCUAGUUAGAGGCAUAAAUAGCAUUUAAAAAACACUAUUAUACAUAACUGUAUAGAACGCCCUGGGAUUGUAUUAAUAUAUCCAAAUAAAUGGAUAAAAAAUUAAUCCCAUCAAAGUUAAGUUAAUUAUGCUUAAGGGUUUACAUAAAAUGUUACCCAAAAGCUUGCACAUAUGUUAGACUCCUUGGUCCGUGUUUCAAGACGGGUCCCGAAGGUAUCCUGAAUCUUUCGCAUUGUUAAUCGUAUAAAUGCCAAUAAAAUUUAACUUUUAUAAAAUCUCCAAUGGAAAUUUAUGCAUUAUACAUAUGAUUAAAUCUAUCAACACUUUAUCAAAUCGAAUAGCAUUUAUUUUAUGUUAAUAUAUGCUAAAAGCAAUAUAUUAAUUCAAAUAAACUUAAGCAUUCGAUCUUAUGAUAAAUAUGUUUAAAUGUUAAUAGAUUACAAUGUCAUUUAUAUGAAGAAAAUGCACACUAUUAUAAUAAUAUUAAAUUAUAUCAUUAUCAUAAUGAUGAAUUCUUCAUAAUUGAUAUUCAGGUUCAUCGGGCUUAACCUCUGAGCAGUUUCACGUACUAUUUAACUCUCUAUUCAGAGUUCUUUUCAACUUUCCCUCACGGUACUUGUUUACUAUCGGUCUCAUGGUCAUAUUUAGUUUUAGAUGGAGUUUACCACCCACUUAGUGCUGCACUAUCAAGCAACACGACUCUUUGGAAAUAUCUUCUAGUAAUCAUUAAUGUUAUACGGGCCUGGCACCCUCUAUGGGUAAAUGGCCUCAUUUAAGAAGGACUUAAAUCAUUAAUUUCUCAUACUAGAAUUAAGAUAUUCCAUACACUGCAUCUCACAAUUACCAUUACAGCAAUGUGACUUAGUGCUGAACUACAUUUCUUUUCGCUCGCCGCUACUA